rnacentral:rRNA from 1 species
UCGAGAAUCUUCGGCAAUGGGCGAAAGCCUGACCGAGCGACGCCGCGUGCGAGAUGAAGGCCUUCGGGUUGUAAAUCGCUGUCGGAGGGGAGGAAAUCUUGAAGGGUACUCUCUUCAAGUUGACCUAUCCUCGGAGGAAGGACGGGCUAAGUUCGUGCCAGCAGCCGCGGUAAGACGAACCGUCCAAACGUUAUUCGGAAUUACUGGGCUUAAAGGGUGCGUAGGCGGCCGUUCAAGUCGGGUGUGAAAGCCCUCAGCUCAACUGAGGAACUGCGCUCGAUACUGUUCGGCUUGAGGAAGGCAGAGGUGAGCGGAACUUGCGGUGGAGCGGUGAAAUGCGUUGAUAUCGCAAGGAACACCAGUAGCGAAGGCGGCUCACUGAGCCUUUUCUGACGCUGAGGCACGAAAGCUAGGGUAGCGAAGAG